rnacentral:rRNA from 1 species
UACGGAGGGUGCGAGCGUUGCCCGGAAUCAUUGGGCGUAAAGGGCGCGUAGGUGGCGGCUUAAGCGUGCGGUGAAAGACUCGGGGCUCAACCCCGAGUCGGCCGUGCGAACUGAGUCGCUUGAGCACUGUAGAGGCAGGCGGAAUUCCGGGUGUAGCGGUGGAAUGCGUAGAGAUCCGGAAGAACACCGGUGGCGAAGGCGGCCUGCUGGGCAGUAGCUGACACUGAGGCGCGACAGCGUGGGGAG